AGUACCCUGCCUGGUACGUGGUUACGAGCCAAAUCUCUGACCCGUUAAUGAUGCUACCAGGGAGCUUGAAUUCAGCGGCGCCCUUAGGCCCUUUCAUGCCAUAGGCAGAUCCGCCUUUGGCGGAAAGCAAGGGAUCUGGAACCCACUGGCUAAAGCACCCACUUUGUUCUGCGGAACAGAGCUUGACUUCGUCACGGCCAAGGUGGGGUAUUC
rnacentral:other from 1 species